rnacentral:rRNA from 1 species
UACGGAGGGGACUAGCGUUGUUCGGAAUUACUGGGCGUAAAGCGCACGUAGGCGGAUUUGUAAGUCAGGGGUGAAAUCCCGCGGCUCAACCGCGGAUUGUCGUUGGAAACUGCCUCGCUAGAGUCCGGAAGAGGAGAGCGGAAUUCCUGGUGUAGCGGUGGAAUGCGCAGAUAUCAGGAAGAACACCCGUGGCGAAGGCGGCUCUCUGGGACGGUACUGACGCUGAGACGCGAAAGCGUGGGGAGCGAACAGG